rnacentral:lncRNA from 1 species
UGGGAUUACAGACAUGAGCCAUCGCGCCUGGCCACCAGAUGUCCGUCUCCCAGGACCAAGUCUGUGGAUGUGGGGACGGAGCUGAAAGGCAGGUGCCUUGCUGCACUCAGGUGCACGACGCCUCCCACCCCCAUGAUGAAGGCUUUGUUCCCAGCGGCUUCAGCUGCCUGAGUCCUUCUUCGCUCGCACUGGGCUCCUUUACGUGAAGAGAUCUCCGGUGGCCUCAACAGUAAGCCAGUCACACAGGCUAGGUGUGUUAGGAAGAGGAACAGAAGAGACCGGCACCUCAGGAAGCACAUUCACUAACAGGCCCAGUGACAUCUCAGUGACAUCUUCUGCAUGCCUUCCACCAAUCAGCUUCCUCUUAAUGUUGCAGAAGACUA